rnacentral:tRNA from 1 species
GGUACCAUAGCUCAGAUGGUAGAGCAAUGGACUGAAAAUCCAUGUGUCACUGGUUCGAUCCCAGUUGGUACCACAA